GACAGAGGCCUCGAGCGUUAGGCGGAAUCACUGGGCUUAAAGCGUGUGUAGGCGGACCUCUAAGUACCUUGUGAAAUCCCACGGCUCACCCGUGGAACCGCUGGGUAUACUGGGGGUCUUGGGCCAUUCAGGGGCGACUGGAACAAGCGGUGGAGCGGUGAAAUGCGUAGAUAUCGCUUGGAACGCCGAAGGUGAAAACAGGUCGCUGGGGACGCGCCGACGCUGAGACACGAAAGCCAGGGGAGCAAACGGG
rnacentral:rRNA from 1 species